rnacentral:rRNA from 1 species
AUUGAACGCUGGCGGCAUGCCUAACACAUGCAAGUCGAACGGCAGCACAGUUGGUUCCUGCUCGUACCGGUUGGCGGACGGGGACGUGUUACAAAUACAUCGGACCCUACUUGGUCGUUGGCCAGAACGUAGCCGAACUAAUGCUACUACCGCACACCACCUACAGGUGAAAGCACUUCAUCUUCCGAGCUUGCGCGUUUGAAUGAGCCGAUGUCGGAUUAGCUAGUUGGCGGGGUAAAGGCCUACCAAGGCGACGAUCAGUAGCUGGUCUGAGAGGACGAUCAGCCACACUGGGACUGAGACACGGCCCAGACUCCUACGGGAGGCAGCAGUGGGGAAUAUUGGACAAAGGGCGAAAGCCUGAUCCAGCAAUGCCGCGUGGGUGAAGAAGGCCUUCGGGUUGUAAAGCACUUUUGUUCGGAAAGAAAACCUGGACUCUAAUACGGUCGUGUGAUGACGGUACCGAAAGAAUAAGCACCGGCUAACUACGUG